GAGGGUGGAAAUUCCAAUAGGACAUUAUAUUAGGGUGCAGAUUGUUGAGAAGCUAUGGAGGGGAUCAUACAUAUAUAGCUUUGUAUACGCGCGCGCGGAGUCUAUAUUAUAUCACUCGAAAUCGCGUAGUGGAACACAACUGUGAAAGUCAAUAUCAGACAUAGUCGGAGAAAAGUACGAUGUCGGUUAGGAAAUUUUUCCAGUGGACGAGCCACAGUUGCCUCAAAGUUUUCAAAAAUUGGUCUACGUCGAUCCAAAAUAGAAGGCAACGAAAAAAAUACACAAGUUACGGAUCAGCAAUAUCAUUAUCCAAUUAUGGAUAUCGAGGAAGCAUUUCCACAGAGGUAACAAUUUUGGAUGAUAUUUAUCCCUGUUCAUGUCAGACAAGCAACAACGAAGUCAAUGAGAACAGACUUAACGAAUGCAUAGAGAAGAGAGAAUUGAGCUAUUAGUUCUUUGAUUUUAUAUAUAUUAUGCCCCAAGAACUGAAAUUUCUUAUAUUUCUUUAUUAUAUGUAUCACAGUGAAAAUUGUUGCUUAAUUUCUCAUUUUUAAAUAUGAUUAGAUGUAAUCAAAUAUACUACUCGUAACGAGUAACAUGUGUAAGUAAGGUUUAAAGUUUUAAAGAUGAGAAAUUUGAUCGACUUUUGUAGAAUCUCACUAUAAAUAUUAAUUUAGAGAUUUAUUUACUAGUCGUUUUUAGUAUUUAAUUUCAUAUAUAUUAUUUUUGGGGUAGAUCCAUAUCCUAUUAUUAUUUAUAACAAUUUAUGCUGUUUUGACUGUGAUAUUAGUGUUUAAGUAAUAAAUGUAUUUUCUGUUCGAUUAAA